CCUACGGGAGGCAGCAGUGAGGAAUAUUGGUCAAUGGGCGGGAGCCUGAACCAGCCAAGUCGCGUGAGGGACGACGGUCCUAUGGAUUGUAAACCUCUUUAGGCGGGGAGCAAUGCCGGGCACGCGUGCCCGGAGGGAGAGUACCCGCAGAAUAAGCAUCGGCUAACUCCGUGACAGCAGCCGCGGUAAUACGGAGGAUGCGAGCGUUACCCGGAUUUAUUGUGUUUAAAGGGUGCGGAGGCGGAGUUUUAAGUCAGCGGUAAAAUGUCCGGGCUCAACCCGGGCGGGCCGUUGAAACUGGGGAUCUUGAGUGGGCGAGAAGUAUGCGGAAUGCGUGGUGUAGCGGUGAAAUGCAUAGAUAUCACGCAGAACACCGAUUGCGAAGGCAGCAUACCGGCGCCCGACUGACGCUGAGGCACGAAAGCGUGGGGAUCGAACAGGAUUAGAUACCCGAGUAGUC
rnacentral:rRNA from 1 species